rnacentral:rRNA from 1 species
CCUACGGGUGGCAGCAGUGGGGAAUAUUGGACAAUGGGCGAAAGCCUGUUCCAGCCAUGCCGCGUGUGUGAAGAAGGCCUUCGGGUUGUAAAGCACUUUCAGUGGGGAAGAAAGCCUUGGGGCUAAUACCCUCGAGGAAGGACAUCACCCACAGAAGAAGCACCGGCUAACUCCGUGCCAGCAGCCGCGGUAAUACGGAGGGUGCGAGCGUUAAUCGGAAUUACUGGGCGUAAAGCGCGCGUAGGCGGUCUGAUAAGCCGGUUGUGAAAGCCCCGGGCUCAACCUGGGAACGGCAUCCGGAACUGUCAGGCUAGAGUGCAGGAGAGGAAGGUAGAAUUCCCGGUGUAGCGGUGAAAUGCGUAGAGAUCGGGAGGAAUACCAGUGGCGAAGGCGGCCUUCUGGACUGACACUGACGCUGAGGUGCGAAAGCGUGGGUAGCAAACAGGAUUAGAUACCCUAGUAGUC